CACCCUUGUCCUUAGUUACCAGCACGUUAUGGUGGGCACUCUAAGGAGACUGCCGGUGACAAACCGGAGGAAGGUGGGGAUGACGUCAAGUCAUCAUGGCCCUUACGGCCUGGGCUACACACGUGCUACAAUGGUCGGUACAAAGGGUUGCCAAGCCGCGAGGUGGAGCUAAUCCCAUAAAACCGAUCGUAGUCCGGAUCGCAGUCUGCAACUCGACUGCGUGAAGUCGGAAUCGCUAGUAAUCGUGAAUCAGAAUGUCACGGUGAAUACGUUCCCGGGCCUU
rnacentral:rRNA from 1 species